rnacentral:rRNA from 1 species
GCCAGUCUAAUUAGGCGAAAAGACCUUAAGUCUAACCCCCCGAAACUAAGUGAGCUAUUUUAAGGCUGCUUACUGAGCUAACCCGUCUAUGUUGCAAAAUAGUGGGAAGACCCUAAAAUAGAGGUGAUAAAUCUAACGAACUUAGUUAUAGCUGGUUUCUCAAGAAAAGAAUUUUAGUCCAACCUAAAGUAAAUUAAAUAACCCACACCACAUCCCUUUAGAGCAAUUCAAAUGAGGUACAGCCCAUUUGAUACAGGAUACAACCUUCACCAACGGGUAAAAUUCAAAUAACACUUUGAAGUGGGCCCAAGAGCAGCCAUCUUUCAAAAAGCGUCAAAGCUUAACCCUGUUUUAAAAAAAUUUAAAAAUUCACAUUGACCCCUUCAAUUGUAUUGAGAACUUCUAUAACCCUAUAGAACUUUUUAUGCUAAAACUAGUAACAAGAGGAAACCCCUCUCCUUAAUGCAAGCCUAAGCCAGCAAGAACCCACCGCUGGCAAUUAACACAUAAAGUAGUAACUUUCCCCCGAAAACCCUACUUUCCCCAACUGUCAACCUAACACCAGAGCAUUUAAAGAAAGAUUAAAAGAAAAAGAAGGAAUUCAGCAAACACUAACCCCGCCUGUUUACCAAAAACAUCGCCUCUUGUAAUCAUAAGAGGUCCAGCCUGCCCAGUGACUUUAUUCAACGGCCGCGGUAUUCUAACCGUGCAAAGGUAGCGUAAUCACUUGUUUUCUAAAUAAAGACCAGUAUGAAAGGCAUCACGAGGACUUAACUGUCUCCUUUCUCCAAUCAGUGAACCUAAUCUCCCCGUGAAGAAGCAGGGAUCCCAUUAUAAGACGAGAAGACCCCGUGGAGCUUAAAACAUUAUAACAAUUGCCACCAUCUUUGACCAUCCUGAUACCUCCCCCAGCGGCACCCUGAUUUAUAUGUUUUUGGUUGGGGUGACCGCGGAGAAAAACCCAUCCUCCGCGAUGAAAGGGACUUCCUACCCUAAACAACAAGUUACAACUUUAUGUAUCAAAAAAUUGACAUCCUUUGACCCAAUUAAUUGAUUAACGAACCAAGUUACCCCGGGGAUAACAGCACAAUCCACUUUGAGAGCCCCUAUCGACAAGUGGGCUUAUGACCUCGAUGUUGGAUCAGGAUAUCCUAGUGGUGCAGCCGCUACUAAAGGUUCGUUUGUUCAACGAUUAAAAUCCCACGU